rnacentral:rRNA from 2 species
CUACUCUUGACAUCCAGAGAACUUUCCAGAGAUGGAUUGGUGCCUUCGGGAACUCUGAGACAGGUGCUGCAUGGCUGUCGUCAGCUCGUGUUGUGAAAUGUUGGGUUAAGUCCCGCAACGAGCGCAACCCUUAUCCUUUGUUGCCAGCGGUUAGGCCGGGAACUCAAAGGAGACUGCCAGUGAUAAACUGGAGGAAGGUGGGGAUGACGUCAAGUCAUCAUGGCCCUUACGAGUAGGGCUACACACGUGCUACAAUGGCGUAUACAAAGGAGACUGCCAGUGAUAAGGCAAGCGGACCUCAUAAAGUACGUCGUAGUCCGGAUUGGAGUCUGCAACUCGACUCCAUGAAGUCGGAAUCGCUACUAAUCGUAGAUCAGAAUGCUACGGUGAAUACGUUCCC